UUUCUUUAGAUCCGCCAAUUUUUGAUUUGGUAUAUUGCAUUUUAUUCAUUUUUUUCUCAUCUCGUGAUCUGUUUGUUUUUAUGGGUGUGGUUUUUUUUUUCUGUUUCUAUUUCAAGAUUAAGAAGAUGAGUUAAGGAAGAGGAGGAACCCACCUUUAUUGUCAUCGCUGUCGAUAUUGAUAUUGCUUUUGGCACCAAUAGUUGUUCAUUUGCAUUUUAGUAACUCAUUCUUAUUUAUACAUGAAUUCUACUUUUUAUCUCCUCCUCUUGAUAUGAGUUAGGAUGAGGAUCACUUUAUUAUUCAUUUAUUAAAAAAUAUUAAUAUUAAAAUUGAGAAUAUACGUUUUU
rnacentral:lncRNA from 1 species